GGCGCACUCCUCCAAAGAUGCAGUUUAAUUCAAACACCAGAGAGACUUCAACAUGACGCUGCAAAAAGCCGACAUAAAAACGAGUGUGUGCUGCUGGGACUUACCUUUGAACGCUUCAUGGUAAACGCAGGGCUGACAGAGCGGCUCUGUAGUGCUCACUGCCAUAUCUGACUGUAACGGGCUCAGAUGAUCUCACUGUUCUCCUAGAUGGGUCCCGCUGAUGAUCAACGCCAUAUGAAGCUGAUAAUAGAAAAGUCAAUAGCCCAGGUGAGGCUAGAAAACAAUAGAUUAGGGUCUAUUUGUUUAUAUUAUUGCAUUUGGUCUGAACUGUCCAUCGCAAGGGGUGCGUUCGAGUGCCAAACGUUCAGUCAGGGUUGAAUAAACGCCGAUACAAUGUUUCUUCAUCCGUACUUUGUUGUUACGAUGCAGCCUUAUGGUGAAGAAUAAACCCUUUCCUCCUGAGGAUCCAUGUAGCUGCUGAGAGAUUGGUGUAAUAACUGAAAGAAAACAAUGCCCACGCCCUUUGCAACAACAGCCGUGCAGUCACAGUCUGUGAUUUGCAGUCUUGAACGCCCCUCACACAGACUGGGGACUAGCCUUUCGGAAUGAUGUCAUGUUUUAGGGAUGAAGAUAGCAGCAUCACUUGGUGAGGAUGAGGUGUUCUCUUCAGAUGUCAGCUUAAAUGUGACGAGCUGGAGAAACAGAACAAGGACCUCGCCUCUCAGUACAGUGUGGUGGAGGAAGACAAGAAAGACAUCGCAGAGUACCUGAAAUAUGCUGUGGCUGCAAAAGAGAAGGAGGUGAACGAGCUGACUGAGCGGCUGGAGAGUCUGCAGCAGGCUGACAAACAGGACAGAGAGGCCCUGAAGCUGUACCUCAGCCAGCAGAGGCAGGAGCUACAGGAGCGGUUCGAUGAACUGAACUCCCAGUCCAUUAAGCAGGAGGAGCACAAGGAGCAGAUCAUGCAGCUGAUGCAGCAGCUGUCCAAAAAGCAGUCUCUAGAGGAACAACUGGUCAGUCAGAAGGAAGAGCACGAAGCUGCCACCUGCAGCAUGAGGACGGACGCAGCGUUCGAGAGGGAUAAGCUGUCUAACGAGAUACAGAGCAAGGUGGACGCUAUCAUUAACACAAAGGCCUCAGACAUUAUUCAGAAGGAGAGGGCUCAGCGCAGCGAGUGGGUGGAGCAGUUCCACCUCCUGCUGCAUGAGAACGUGGAUCUGUGGGAGGAGAGAUACACCCUGGAAGCCAAACAAGGGGUGAUUUUAUGUCAGAUUGGCCUACUGAGGGAAGAUAUUAACAGUGACACCAUGGAGAGCUUCAUCCACAAGAGGGAGGUGGGGAAGCAGACGAACAAGUGCCAGCAGCUGGAGGUGAAUCUAAAGGGCCGUAGCGCCGUCCACAAGCGCACGCUGGCCAGGGAAGAGGAGCUGAGAAAGGAACUGGCCUCAGCGUCCGAGGAGUGCAGACAAAAAUCAGCUGAAGCCAGUCAGCUGGGGGCCGAGCUACAGUGGGAGAGGAGCAGGAGGAGGGAGCUGGAGGGCAUCAUAUGGGAAGCAGUCGUCAUUCUCAGACACAUCAUGGAGGACUCAGAGAAGGCGUCAAACACUCAGCGGAAGAAGAAGUGGCUGCUGGAGGUCCUGGAGAAAGCUGCCCCCAAAGAAACAGGCCCUGCUCUUAAAGUCUCAACUGAGGAGAGCAGUCAAGGACAGACACCGCAGACCACUGAACCCAAACCAGCCAGUGCCGAGACCCUGAAUAGAGCCACAGAUCCACUGUUCCUGCUUGCCCGCUAUAGGCCAGGCGACCUCGGCUUAAUACCUCGACCUACAUGGAAACACAAACCAGCCGUCUCCACCAGCACCAAGUGGCGUCUCAACAGGAAACCGUGCAGUAAGAAGACAGGAACCACCACCUCUGAACCAAAGCCAGUCAACAAAGACGAAUGUUUUUUAUCCCACUGCCCCAUUUCAAAAUAAAG
rnacentral:lncRNA from 15 species